UACGAAGGGGGCUAGCGUUGCUCGGAAUUACUGGGCGUAAAGCGCACGUAGGCGGCUCUUUAAGUCGGGGGUGAAAUCCUGGAGCUCAACUCCAGAACUGCCUUCGAUACUGGAGAGCUCGAGUCCGGGAGAGGUGAGUGGAACUGCGAGUGUAGAGGUGAAAUUCGUAGAUAUUGGGAAGAACACCGGUGGCGAAGGCGGCUCACUGGCUCAUUACUGACGCUCAGGCGCGAUAGCGUGGGGAUCAAACAGG
rnacentral:rRNA from 1 species